rnacentral:rRNA from 1 species
GAUGAACGCUGGCGGCGCGCUUAACACAUGCAAGUCGAACGGAAAGGCCCAAGCUUGCUUGGGUCCUCGAGUGGCGAACGGGUGAGUAACACGUGGGUGAUCUGCCCUGCACUUCGGGAUAAGCCUGGGAAACUGGGUCUAAUACCGGAUAGGACCACUUCUUGGAUGUUGUGGUGGAAAGUUUUUUCGGUGUGGGAUGAGCUCGCGGCCUAUCAGCUUGUUGGUGGGGUAAUGGCCUACCAAGGCGUCGACGGGUAGCCGGCCUGAGAGGGUGUACGGCCACAUUGGGACUGAGAGACGGCCCAGACUCCUACGGGAGGCAGCAGUGGGGAAUAUUGCACAAUGGGCGCAAGCCUGAUGCAGCGACGCCGCGGGGGGGAGGACGGCCUUCGGGUUGUAAACGCCUUUCGCUAGGGACGAAGCGUUUUGUGACGGUACCUGGAGAAGAAGCACCGGCUAACUACGUG